rnacentral:rRNA from 1 species
GACGAACCGUGCGAACGUUAUUCGGAAUCACUGGGCUUAAAGGGUGUGUAGGCGGGAGGACAAGUCGAGGGUGAAAGCCCCUAGCUUAACUAGAGAAGUGCCCUCGAUACUGGUUGUCUUGAGAGAGAUAGGGGCACACGGAACUUCCGGUGGAGCGGUGAAAUGCGUAGAUAUCGGAAGGAACGCCGGUGGCGAAAGCGGUGUGCUGGAUCUUUUCUGACGCUGAGGCACGAAAGCUAGGGUAGCGAACGGGAUUAGAUACCCCGGUAGUCCUAGCCCUAAACGAUGAGUCCUAGAUUGUGGACUGACAUGGGUUCACAGUCGAAGCAAAAGUAUUAAGUACUCCGCCUGGGGAGUAUGGUCGCAAGGCUG